rnacentral:lncRNA from 1 species
GCCUCAGGUCCAUCUGUGACUUAGACUGGGGUGUCCUUGAGGGCAGGGCGUGUGAGGUAGUCUUCUCUGCCUGCCUGUUUAUGUUUCUGGGUGCCUACCAUCCCCUAGACCGCUGUGCACACGAUCUGUCUGUGCAACAGGUCUCAGCAAUAUGGAAGAGCCUGCAGCCGCCGGAAGCCCAUCGGUGCUGACCGGUGGUGCAGGUGGCAGCUCCGUGCGGGAGGACCCUGGCCGGAGAGGCCCAUCAGGCGCCGGGGUUUAGAGUCCCGGGGACCACACCGUCCGCUCCUGGCAUUCUCCAGGGCCAGCGCCUGGGAUGGAAAGUGUGUGCGUAGACCAUGCACCCAGGAGGACGCGGCUGCCUGCCUCCUUCCUGUCCUCUUCCUCAUUCUAGAAACCGAGCUGGCCUCUUCCCUGUAUGACAUCCCCGUUCUUUGCUUAUAAGGUGGGCAGGGUAAUGUGGUCAAGGAGAAGAAUGGGAUUUAAAAGCAAAACAAAAUAAAACAAAACCGGGAAAAAUGAGAAGGGGUCCUGAGAUGCUUAAACCCAUGAUACAAGCUAAUACUCCCUGAGCACUUACAUCCAGAUGAACGAAAGCGGGUACUUGAUAUGCACUCUCUGGUUUAACCCUGAAGCCACCCUCCUGAACCAGCUAUCACUCUUCUUGUUAAUUAGGAUGGUUACCUGUGCUAUGUUACAAGCCGGAAGAAUGAAAGCUGAUGAGUUGGGGUGAUUGUAGCUGA